rnacentral:tRNA from 1 species
GCCAGAAUAGUUUAGUGGCUAAAGCGUUGGGCCUAGGAUUUGGGGGACCUGAGUUCAAAUUUCAGUUCUGUCG